UACGAAGGGGGCUAGCGUUGCUCGGAAUCACUGGGCGUAAAGCGCACGUAGGCGGAUUUUUAAGUCAGGGGUGAAAUCCUGGAGCUCAACUCCAGAACUGCCCUUGAUACUGGGAAUCUCGAGUCCGGGAGAGGUGAGUGGAACUGCGAGUGUAGAGGUGAAAUUCGUAGAUAUUCGCAAGAACACCAGUGGCGAAGGCGGCUCACUGGCCCGGUACUGACGCUGAGGUGCGAAAGCGUGGGGAGCAAACAGG
rnacentral:rRNA from 1 species